AGACGUCUACAUUAGAUACCCGCGUAGUCCCAGCCGUAAACAAUGUGCGUUAGGUGUGUCGGUAACCACGCGUUACUGAUGCGCCGAAGAGAAAUCGUGAAACGCACCACCUGGGAAGUACGGUCGCAAGGCUGAAACUUAAAGGAAUUGGCGGGGGAGCACCACAACAGGUGGAGCCUGCGGUUUAAUUGGAUUCAACGCCGGACAUCUCACCGGAUAAGACAGCUGAAUGAUUGUCAAUCUGAAGGUUUUACAUGACUAGCUG
rnacentral:rRNA from 1 species